CCUCUGUUCUCUCUUCCUCUCUCCCUGUGACUGAAACUACAGGAGCAUAAAUGAAAUUUUCAUCAUGAGUGAGAUUCGUAGACUUAUGGUUACGUUGAGUUGGAAAUGUUAAUCGGUUGGCUGAUUCCAUGGACGAGAUGGGGUAAUGUUUUGUUCUUCAAAUUCAAAGAUGCUUGAAGAAAUAUCAUUCUCUCUACUCAACUGAAAAUGUGAUUUUUAAAAAAUCAAUGGGUCACUUGGAUUUCGUAGGGGAUAGUUGGCGAUCUUUUGUUUCACAUUCAUUAGUUAUACUGGUGGUACCUUGACAAAGUACUAGACUAUGGAAAUCUAAUUAAGUAUGUAGUUCUGUGGAUUAUUGUUGCCACGGACCAUGCGAGUUUGAUUUUGUUUAUUUAGUCAUGUGUUCUGAACUACUUGAAUGUGAGUACUCACCACUCAUUGUGACUUAUUACCUAUGGUUUGUGGACUACAUGGACUUAUCUACUAUGAGCCUGGAGUAGUAUUGAUGCAGCUAAAUGCGUAUGUUGGAUUUAAGCUACUAAAUUUAGGUGAUUUUGUAUGGGUUUCUAACAGUAGAUGCUCGGUGUACAUUUGAUCAUCUAACAGUAGAUGAUCAAAUGGAAUGGUCCGCAGGCCGCAACAAUAUUUUCUACUUAGAAAUUCAGUAGGGUCAUUUCUAAGUUUUGGCAGUCAGGUACGGAGAGUUAUUCUACUCAAUGUACGUAACGAUGAUGCUUACGAACUGGACUUGACUUCCGUGUACUUGGGCAGUGCUAAAUUAUGGUAGUAGCUGUCAGCUGGCUCGGGUAUUAACUAGUUUCCGAAGACAAAAAUAGAUGACCUGAUGGUCGUUACUGCAUGCUUUAUACAUUUCAGCCCUUAUUUGCUGUACAUGUAUUUUUGUCGCAACUAAUAAUGUGUAGCUUGCUAGUCCAGCAGUUUCUCUUCUUGUAGAGCAACUUGGAUCCACCUGAAAACUCACUGUAAGUUGGCUUUGUUUCCUAUAGCUCCUUAUACUACUCUUGGAUACAUUUUAUUGUUUCUCAAAUUUAAUCUAUGGGUGCAUGUACAAGCUACGUCUUGAACUAAAUUAAGGGUGUUGACUACUUGUAAUUAGUGGGCAGUUGCAAAUACUUAAUAAAGUGAAAUAGGAGUGGUUAUUAAAUGGAA